GACGAACGCUGGCGGCGUGCUUAACACAUGCAAGUCGAACGGGAUUUAGUAGACAGAAGCUUCGGUGGAAGAUUACUAAUGAGAGUGGCGAACGGGUGAGUAACGCGUGAGCAACCUGCCUAUGACAGUGGGAUAGCCUCGGGAAACCGGGAUUAAUACCGCAUAAAAUCGUAGAAACACAUGUUUCAACGGUCAAAGAUUUAUCGGUCAUAGAUGGGCUCGCGUCUGAUUAGCUAGUUGGUGAGAUAACAGCCCACCAAGGCGACGAUCAGUAGCCGGUCUGAGAGGAUGAACGGCCACAUUGGAACUGAGACACGGUCCAAACUCCUACGGGAGGCAGCAGUGGGGAAUAUUGCACAAUGGGGGAAACCCUGAUGCAGCGACGCCGCGUGAACGAAGAAGGUAUUCGUAUCGUAAAGUUCUGUCCUAUGGGAAGAUAAUGACAGUACCAUAGAAGAAAGCUCCGGCUAAAUACGUGCCAGCAGCCGCGGUAAUACGUAUGGAGCGAGCGUUGUCCGGAAUUAUUGGGCGUAAAGGGUACGCAGGCGGUUUAAUAAGUCGAAUGUUAAAGAUCGGGGCUCAACCCCGUAAAGCAUUGGAAACUGAUAAACUUGAGUAGUGGAGAGGAAAGUGGAAUUCCUAGUGUAGUGGUGAAAUACGUAGAUAUUAGGAGGAAUACCAGUAGCGAAGGCGACUUUCUGGACACAAACUGACGCUGAGGUACGAAAGCGUGGGGAGCAAACAGG
rnacentral:rRNA from 1 species